AUGAGCGUCAGCCGCCUGUGCUGUGUGGUGUUUUGUCUUCUACAGGCAGGGUCGCUGAAUGCUGGCAUCACUCAGACCCCCAAAUUCCAGGUCCUGGGGACAGGACAGAACAUGACACUGAAAUGUCACCAGGAUAUGAACCACAACUCCAUGUACUGGUAUCGACAAGACCAUGGACAUGGGCUGAGGCUGAUCCAUUACUCAGUCGGUGCUGGCACCUCUACAAAUGGAGAAGUCCCGGAUGGAUACAGUGCCUCUAGGCCAAAUAUAAUGAUCUUCCUUCUCAAGCUGCUGUCCACAACCCCCUCCCAGACAUCUGUGUACUUCUGUGCCAGCAGUGUGCUGUUGACACAUCUCAGUGAUGAUGCCCAGCAGACAGAGGUGUGA